CCUACGGGCGGCAGCAGUGAGGAAUAUUGGUCAAUGGACGAGAGUCUGAACCAGCCAAGUAGCGUGAAGGAUGACUGCCCUAUGGGUUGUAAACUUCUUUUAUAAAGGAAUAAAACGAGGCACGUGUGCCUUUUUGCAUGUACUUUAUGAAUAAGGAUCGGCUAACUCCGUGCCAGCAGCCGCGGUAAUACGGAGGAUCCGAGCGUUAUCCGGAUUUAUUGGGUUUAAAGGGAGCGUAGAUGGGUUGUUAAGUCAGUUGUGAAAGUUUGCGGCUCAACCUUAAAAUUGCAAUUGAUACUGGCAGUCGUGAGUACAGUUGAGGUAAGCGGAAUUCGUGGUGUAGCGGUGAAAUGCUUAGAUAUCACGAAGAACCCCGAUUGCGAAGGCAGCUUACUAAACUGUGACUGACAUUGAUGCUCGAAAGUGUGGGUAUCAAACAGGAUUAGAUACCCGAGUAGUC
rnacentral:rRNA from 1 species